UGGGGAAUAUUGCACAAUGGGGGAAACCCUGAUGCAGCGACGCCGCGUGAGCGAAGAAGGUUUUCGAAUCGUAAAGCCCUGUCCUAUGAGAAGAUAAUGACGGUAUCAUAGGAGGAAGCCCCGGCUAAAUACGUGCCAGCAGCCGCGGUAAUAAGUAUGGGGCGAGCGUUGUCCGGAAUUAUUGGGCGUAAAGGGUACGGAGGCGGUUUUUUAAGUCAGGUGUCAAAGCGUGGAGCUUAACUCCAUUAAGCACUUGAAACUGAAAGACUUGAGUGAGGGAGAGGAAAGUGGAAUUCCGAGGGUGGCGGUGAAAUGCGUAGAUAUUAGGAGGAAUACCGGGGGCGAAGGCGACUUUCUGGACUGUUACGAACGCUCAGGUACGAAAGCGUGGGGAGCAAACAGG
rnacentral:rRNA from 1 species